UACAGAGGGUGCGAGCGUUAAUCGGAAUUACUGGGCGUAAAGCGUGCGCAGGCGGUUUUGUAAGUCUGAUGUGAAAAUCCCCCGGGCUCAACCUGGGAAUUGCAUUGGAGACUGCAAGGCUAGAAUCUGGCAGAGGGGGGUAGAAUUCCACGUGUAGCAGUGAAAUGCGUAGAGAUGUGGAGGAACACCGAUGGCGAAGGCAGCCCCCCUGGGUCAAGAUUGACGCUCAUGCACGAAAGGCGUGGGGAGCAAACGAGAUUAGAGUA
rnacentral:rRNA from 1 species